rnacentral:rRNA from 1 species
GAUGAACGCUGGCGGCGUGCUUAAUACAUGCAAGUCGAGCGAACGGACGAGCAGCUUGCUUCUCUGAGUUUAGCGGCGGACGGGUGAGUAACACGUGGAUAACCUACCUAUCAGACCGGGAUAACUUCGUGAAACCGGAGCUAAUACCGGAUAAUCUUUUGAACCGCAUUGGUCAGAAGUGGAAGACGGUCUUGCUUUCGCUUAUUGAUGGAGCCGGGCUGCAUAAGCUAGGUGGGAAGGUAACGGCUUAGCAAGGGAACGAGGCAUAGCCGACCUGCGAGGGUGAGCGGCCACACUGGAACUGAGACACGGUCCAGACUCCUACGGGGGGCAGCAGUAGGGAAUCUUGCGCGAUGGGCGGAGGCGUGACGUGGCGACGCCGCGUGGGUGAUGGAGGGCGUCGGUUCGUGUAACUCUGUUAUGAGGGAAGUACAUAUGUGUAAGUAACUGUGCACGUCUUGACGGUACCUAGUCAGAAAGCCACGGCUAACUACGUG